CCAUGUGUGGGAGUUAGUAUUACCACUGUGCGCAGAUGAAGAAACCAAAGCUCAGAGGGGCUGAGAAAUAUGCACAAGAUCACAGAUCUUGUAGUAGCAAAGCUAGAGAUUCAGGUCUAGGCGAGUGGCAGAAAUAAUUAGAAUAGAGGAAGAUAAAUAGUAAGGAGCUGAGUCAGGGGCAUAGAGAAGAUGAAAAGAGAAGAAGAAAGAGAAAAAAGAAUAGGAAAAGUGCAGGGGCAGAAAGCAAACUGCCUUCACAGCCAAGUUCCUCUGCUGGACCCUCAUCUUGGCCACAUGCAGCCUGGUGACUCAGGACAAAUCCUGUCACUACAGCCUCUUCAUCUGUGCAACGGGUCAGGGUCAGCCAGCCAGCUGUGACACUGGUUUGUUUUCAGGAUCAGAAGACUCUGUGUGGGAAGUUCUACAUCACUGGGCAUGCUGGCCACAUGGAGGCUCUUCAGACGGUGUUUAGAGGAUGGAUGAGCCUCGGAAGGCCAGGCCCCCAGGAUGUAGGGAAUGAGAACGUCCCCCAGAUGGUGAACAGAGCUGUGAGCAGCCCCUGCCCAGGAUGUGGAGCCAGCUGGGAUAACCAUCUGCGAGUCUGCUUCACCCAGAAUCGAUCCCAACGGUGGAGGAUCUUAGUUCCCGGAUCAAUAGACCCAGGCCCGUGGCAGUCAAAGCGCAGAGUCCUAACCACGGGACCGCCAGGGAAUUCCCAUACAUUUCCGCUGUUUUCGGCCAUCAUUGGAAACUAACACAGGCUGCAAUGGGAAAGUUACCCAGAGGCAGAAACACCUCCUAGUCUUCUGACUUCCCUCUUUGGGGAAGGUUCGGGACAGGGUUCAUUUGCCAGAACAGGACAGAGGUGGAACUGGACCAGCACCCACCCUAUGUGCACCCAUCGUGCAGUUUCAAAGGGAGGCCGACCACACAGGCGUGCUUGCCGCAGGGGAUGAGGGCUGAAGCAGAGGACCAGAGGUGUACGUCCAGGGUCUCAUCAAAUCUCCAGAGGUCCCGUGAGCUGGAAGUGGAAGCUCAGCGUUCAGCGCAAGAGAAAAGUGGCUCAGAUUUGGGGUUGAAUUCCAGCUCCCCCGUUCAAUGACCAUGCGACCUGACACCCACCCCCCCAACCCACCCCCAACUCUCGCCUUUUAUCUGUGAAACUGAAAUUAUGACACCUACCUACAGGCUUGUUGCUCUGAGGUUUAAAGCCCUUCACAGAGCUCUCCGCUUCCUGAACGACCUGGUGAAUAGUUCUUGCUGUUACGGCCCAGGAUCCCAGAGCAGCCAGACAGGCCUGAGUGAUGUGGGAGCCUGGGGCGGACUCCCCCUGCAGGGAUCAGCCUGUCGACGUGGAGGUGCUCAUUUCAGCCCACCACAACACUGCUCUGCGCGGGCUGUUGCCUGCUGUGUUCAGCGCCAACCUCUCAGCGCUCCCCAAACCACAAGGGCUAGAAGCCUGAAAACUAUGUCUCUCAGACUCCCCCCUGCCAGCAGCGUUCCAGUUUAGAUUCUGCCUUUGGAAGGCUUUUGCAUGAGAGCAGGAGGCAGAGAGGGAAACUGUUUCUCUGGCUCCAGACUGGGAGGCAGCCAUGGGUCUGACCCUCCUGCGGAGGCAGAGCUAGCAGCAUUGGAAGCCUGCGGGGCGGCGGCUGGCUCCUGCUGGCCUGAGAAGGGCAGCGGGGCUGUUUUGAGUCCUGCGUGCUCAGAGACAAGUAGGUUCCUACCGGGUUACGGCGGCUGACUGCAGAGCGGGAUCUCUGGGUAGCAGCACCGUUCCCAUCCGUAGUUUUGCUCCUUCCCUUCCAACAACUAGGAAACUUCACUCCCUAUAUUAAGUUUCACUGUGUUUGAAAUACCUAUAGUGACUUUCAUUUUCCCAACUGAAUCCCUGACCAGUCCGUCAGUCCUCUGAGGUGCAGGGGCCGAGGGGUACAGAUCAUUAGGGGGCUCAGAGGGCCAUCUUUACCAGGAAAUAUGACCUUAUAUUUCUCAUUAGAGAUAACCCUUAUAAUGAAAAUACAGCAUGUCUGCUAAGUCA